rnacentral:tRNA from 1 species
GCCUGGGUGGCUCAGUCGGUUAAGCGUCUGACUUCGGCUCAGGUCAUGAUCUCAUGGUUGGUGGGUUUGAGCCCCGCGUCGGGCU